rnacentral:lncRNA from 1 species
GAAUUAUUGGAGAAGAAAGCAAAGCUAAGAACAUAGGAUCAUGGCAAUAGAAAGUGGAAUGCGUGUAAAAGUUUUAUUCCAAGAGGAUAUAUAAGCACUACAAACAAACAUACUAAUAUUGAUACAUAUACAGCACCGGAAUUAAAGUAAGCCAUUCAUCUCUAAUAAUAGCCCUUCUCACCAUAACUCUUCCUAACUCUUCUCUUCAACUCUGCAACAUCAUCGUCAUCAUCCUUCAGAACACCAUCACCAUAACCAUGACCAUCAUUAUCAUCAUCAUCCUUCCCAACCAAGGUUUCCUUAAUCUUGUGUGUGGUGUCCUUCGCCGCGUCCCACGCCCCUUGCACGCCCUGCUUCGCCUUCUCCCCCACGUUCUUCAGCGUCUCUCCGGCCGAUUCCGCCACCUCCUCCGUCUUCUGCUUUGUCCUCUCCGCCCCCUCCUUACCCUUCUCCGCCACUGUUCCCGCUGCAUCCUUUGCACUUUCUUUGGUCUCGUACGCAUACUCUUUCGCCUUCUCU